rnacentral:rRNA from 1 species
UACACAUGCAAGUCGAACGCUUCAGCAAUGAAGAGUGGCAGACGGGUGAGUAACGCGUGGGAACCUUCCCAGUGGUACGGAAUAGCCCAGGGAAACUUGGGGUAAUACCGUAUAAGCCCUUAGGGGGAAAGAUUUAUCGCCAUUGGAUGGGCCCGCGUCGGAUUAGCUUGUUGGUGAGGUAAAAGCUCACCAAGGCGACGAUCCGUAGCUGGUCUGAGAGGAUGAUCAGCCACACUGGGACUGAGACACGGCCCAGACUCCUACGGGAGGCAGCAGUGGGGAAUAUUGGACAAUGGGCGCAAGCCUGAUCCAGCCAUGCCGCGUGAGUGACGAAGGCCUUAGGGUUGUAAAGCUCUUUUGGCGGGGACGAUAAUGACGGUACCCGCAGAAUAAGCUCCGGCUAACUUCGUGCCAGCAGCCGCGGUAAUACGAAGGGAGCUAGCGUUGUUCGGAAUUACUGGGCGUAAAGCGCACGUAGGCGGAUUUGUUAGUCAGGGGUGAAAUCCCGGGGCCCAACCUCGGAACUGCCUUUGAUACUGCAAGUCUGGAGUCCGGAAGAGGUGGGUGGAAUUCCUAGUGUAGAGGUGAAAUUCGUAGAUAUUAGGAAGAACACCGGUGGCGAAGGCGGCCCACUGGUCCGGUACUGAC